rnacentral:rRNA from 1 species
GACGAAGGGGGCUAGCGUUGUUCGGAAUUACUGGGCGUAAAGCGCGUGUAGGCGGUUGUCCAAGUCGGGUGUGAAAGCCUUGAGCUCAACUCAAGAAAUGCACUCGAUACUGGGUGACUUGAGGACCGGAGAGGAUAGUGGAAUUCCCAGUGUAGUGGUGAAAUACGUAGAGAUUGGGAAGAACACCAGUGGCGAAGGCGGCAUCCUGGACCGAUAUUGACGCUGAUGCGCGAAAGCCAGGGGAGCAAACGGG